CUACCUGACUCCUCCAAGUAAGCUGAAAUUCAGUAGAACAACUUGGACAUCGAGCAGCACAGGAACACCCUGUUUGUUCCACGUGGGAUGCUCCAGAAGGCAAGCAGGCUACUUAAUUUUGCUCUGCAGAUGUAGCCUGCACUACUACAUCUAUGUUCUCUCCUGCCUGUAGAGUCUGCUUGCAGGAUAUAUCAUAUGCUGUACUCUGGCCUUUGGAUUCUCAUUGAUUUCAAUGGAAACAUGCCUGCAUAUCAGCAGGUAGGAGCUGGCAAGACUUGCAAUGUCAGAUUAAGAUCUAUUAUCACAGAGGGGCAAGAAAGCAAUGGAAGAUAUAUAGAUGUGUUGGAAACAGAGCAGGACAACACUCUGGAGAAAUAUGUUCUUGUCAUGAUUUGCAGGUGUGAAACAUCUUGCCUCCAUUUAGAUUUUGACUAAAUUUGGACAUUCACACACAUGGAGAAUGCUGUCUGAGCUCUCACUGCUUUGUCUGCCUGGAGCCCCAUCACCUCACCAGGGUGCUCCUUAGUUCUCCAUGCCCUGUUUUCAGGGUACUUUCCUCUGCUACAGUCAGGUUUGUCAGACCAGUGGCUCCAAGAUUUGCACACAGGGAGGAAGCUGACUCCAGGGCUCCUUCAAAGCCAGGACUCUUGUCUUCCAGAAGUAACUUCAGAUGGUUUUGUUUUCAUUCCUACUACUACCUGGUUAGAAGGCAUAGCCACUGCAGAAACUUUCUUGAAAUUUUAGCCACUCUAGAAAGAAGUUGUCUGGAGAGACUAUUCACAACAGUGUAAGGCAUCUAGAAUUAGUGGAAAACCACAACUGUUUGUAUCUGCAUUAUAAGCAAGACUAAAUAAAAAGAGCCAUGUGAAUUGGCAUAAACACAAGCUGAGUUUUCAGAAAGGCCAUGGAAAUACUUUUCUUUUCUCACAUGGUUGCUAACCUGCAUCCCAUCCAAUAAACACCUUGUGUAAAGCCACACUGCGGGGGCUUGCCUCUGCUACUUGAAGCAGAAAGUCUUAGACCAAAGUUCUUUAGAGUUUACUUUGUGCCUGGAUCACUUGAUGCUUUCAGAAAACCCUUUUCUGUGUGUGUCACGUGCAGACUUGAAAAUCAGCCCCACCUGAUCAUGUACCACAUGUCAGGCACUGUGUCCUUUCUUCUGUGGUGAGGCACUGACAGCAUGUAUUGUUUUUCCUUUAAAAAAAAGUGUUGUUCUGAGGGGGUCUGUUGUUUCCCUUGGCAUGCCUUAAGUACUAGGUGAAGCUCCGGGAUGAGUCAAGACUUGGAAUAUAGGAAGCACUCCAAUUCUAUGGGACAUCUUUGCUGCCAUUAACCUGGUGUCACUGCUUCUUCUUUCCCUUUCCAUUUCCCUUUCCCACAGAAACCCUUACUCCUGCCAUUUCCUCAUUCUGAAUAUUGGGAUUUAUAUCUUCCCAGGUCACUCGCUGCAGUGUGUGUGUGCUUGCUCAGCUCCAGAAGUAUGUGCAUUAUUUUACAAAGCAAGUGAGGCAAAGUCAUGCCCUCGCAGGGCACAUAGUCUUCCUGUUGCAUACCUAAGUAUUUCUUGCAUUUAUUGUACAAAUAUCCACACUGUGAUAUUUUUGAAGUUUUGGCCAGUGUAAGGAAAUCAUAAUAUUUUGAGGGUCUUGAAAGGCUUCUGUAAUAAAAAUAACAAUGUUUUUAUAUAGCACCGUGUGUUUACAAGUGUGUCACUGGUUUACAAGUGUGUUAAACUGUAUUUUCCAUGCAUCUUUCACUAUGUCACCUUCAUUUUGCUAGCUUAUCCAUCUCCAUUCUGUAAAAAAAAACUAGUGUCCUUUCACUUGUGUUUGCGUACACACAUAUUUCAGGCACAAAUAAGUUAGCAUGCAUUGUCUAUAAAUAUUUAAUCACCUUGUCUGAAAUGUUAUUAAAUUUAAGAGGUUUGCAUUCUUUUAAGCCUACAAAUUUUACUCAUAAGGAUUAAUUGUGAAAUAAAAACAAAACCAACCAACCAACAA